rnacentral:rRNA from 1 species
AGUGAACGCUGGCGGCGUGCCUAACACAUGCAAGUCGAAGGAAGUGGCGCAAGGGUGUGAAAGAUAUAGCAAAUACGCACCUUGCUGGAGGAGAACAGUUAGAAAUGAAUGCUCAUACUCCAUAGCAAGGGAUGAGACUAUAUCGUAUCAGCUAGUCGGUGGGGUAACGGCCUACCGAGGCCCUGACGCGUAACUGGUAGGAGAGGAUGAUCAGUCACAUUGGAACUUAAACACGGUCCAAACUCCUACGGGAGGCAGCAGUAGGGAAUAAUGCUCAAUUGGGGAAACCCUGACGCAGCACCGCCGCGUGGAGUAUUACACUUUUCGGAGCGUAAGCUCCUUUUGUUAGGGGAGCGGUACCUAACAAAUAAGCACCGGCUAACUCCGUGCCAGCAGCCGCGGUAAUAC